rnacentral:rRNA from 1 species
UCUAAAUUAUUUAGGUAGUACUAUUUUUCAAAAAAACCUUUAUAAAAUGGCGGCAUUUUAUCUUAUUAGAGGAACAUGUUUAAUAAUCGAUAACACACGUUAAUUUUCACUUAUUUAAAAAUUUUAUAUACCUCCGUCCUGAAUUUAUUUAAUUUAUAUUCAAAAAAAAAGCUAAUAGGUUAGGUAAAGGUGUAGACAACAUAUAAGUAAUUAAUGUGUUACAUUAAAAACAAUUUGAAGGAAAUUUAUUUAAAAAUAUCUAAAAAAUAGGAUUUAAAAGUAAAUUUUCAAUAAUAUUUUUAUUUGAAUAAGAAUAUAAAUGUGU